GAGAUUGUGGCUCAGUGGUAGAGUGCUUGCCUCGAAUGUAUGAGGCACUGGGUUCGAUCCUCAGCACCACA
rnacentral:tRNA from 1 species